AACGAACGCUGGCGGCGUGGAUAAGACAUGCAAGUCGUGCGGAGAUUUGCGGGUAGCAAUAUUUGCAAAUUUUUAGCGGCGAACGGGUGAGGAAUACAUGGGUAACCUACCCUCGAGUGGGGAAUAACUAGCCGAAAGGUUAGCUAAUACCGCGUACGCUCCUUGGACUUCGGUUCAGGGAGGAAAGCGAUACCGUGGGUAUCGCGCUCUUGGUUGGGCUCAUGUCCUAUCAGCUUGUUGGGAGGUAACGGCUCACCAAGGCUUCGACGGGUAGCUGGUCUGAGAGGACGAUCAGCCACACUGGCACUGCGACACGGGCCAGACUCCUACGGGAGGCAGCAGUAAGGAAUAUUGCGCAAUGGGCGAAAAGCCUGACGCAGCGACGCCGCGUGGGGGAUGAAGGUCUUCGGAUUGUAAA
rnacentral:rRNA from 1 species